AGCGAACGCUGGCGGCAGGCCUAACACAUGCAAGUCGAACGAAGUCUUCGGGCUUAGUGGCGGACGGGUGAGUAACACGUGGGAACGUACCUUUUGGUUCGGAACAACUCAGGGAAACUUGAGCUAAUACCGGAUGAGUCCUUAGGGGGAAAGAUUUAUCGCCGAAAGAGCGGCCCGCGUUAGAUUCGCUGGUUGGUGAGGUAAAGGCUCACCAAGGCUACGAUCUAUAGCUGGUCUGAGAGGAUGAUCAGCCACACUGGGACUGAGACACGGCCCAGACUCCUACGGGAGGCAGCAGUGGGGAAUCUUGCGCAAUGGGCGAAAGCCUGACGCAGCCAUGCCGCGUGAAUGAUGAAGGUCUUAGGAUUGUAAAAUUCUUUUACCAGGGAUGAUAAUGACGGUACCUGGAGAAAAAGCCCCGGCUAACUUCGUGCCAGCCGCCGCGGUAAAAC
rnacentral:rRNA from 1 species